GAUAGUUCCACACAGUGCCACACCGAAUACCGUUGUAAACAGUCUUAUUCGAUCACAGCUUAUCGGGGUAUCAAGAAUCAUUGUAUUCAAAUGAUAACUUCUGGAAUAUCUGGUUACCAUUCUAAAUUAUAGAGUAGUCGAAAAUUACACGGUUCGUACCAAGGACGUGCAGUGCAGGUUAAGUAAUUCAAUCAUUUUAUCAUUUAAAUUUCCUGUUCACACUCAUCAAACUCAAGUCAUAAAAAGUACACACAUUCAAAUCGACAUCUCUUAUCGAGCCCAUUACUUCCUCUGUAUGUCAAUUUGACUCGGCACUGUUCUCUGCUAUCUUCGUAAUUGCAUUGUACUUACAAAACGGAAGAUCUGUUAUUCUGCGAUUACUUCUUCAAGCAUCAUAAUUCACAUUUCGAUCGCAUAGAUUGAAUCUCUUUCUCACACUGAUUUGCAUACAGUGGGCGGCAAACUAUGAAUCGAACGAAAAUGUAUAAUUAUACCUGCGAUGACUAGCUCGGGAAUUUUUGCUCGGGUUGAGCAAAUUCCGUGGAAAAUUGAUGACCGAAAAUGAUCCAAAAUAUAAACAACCCACGCAGCAGGAUCGCAAGGCAAACCUCGAAUGCGUGAUGACCCAUUAGCGAAAAAGCGGGGCACGCGUUCAAUUCAGCUCACGAAAGUGAAACCCAGCCAAGCAUUUCCGGUGCAUUCUUUUUCAUCUCGUUAUGAAUGGAUUGAAACAAUAAUAAAAAAAAAACUAACAGAAAUCCGCUGUGUUCGUGUUUGGCUUCGACAAAUAUACAAACAACCAUCCAACCAACCAACCGUCAUAAAGCUUAGUAGAAAGACACAUGAUCUUGCGAUUAUGGCAUCGUUCUCCGGCUACCGCUAGUUAGAAUACAGCAAAGCGAACCAUCAAAGUCCUACGGUAGUAGUCUCAUCAGAAUCCCGCUGCUGGAGUCGACAGAUGUGAGUGAUCAGAGUGUUGCUCGGAUGCUGCUGCUGCUGCUGCCACCUAGCUCGUCGUUGUUGACCGUAACCGUGCGUCUGUGUCUGGACGGGCGUACACCGGACGUGUUAGGCUAGUUCACGAUGUUCUGGGAACCGUUAUAAAUAGCUUAGUCCGUUUCAUCAUCGAACCUGUCUAUCAACGUCGCGCAUCGCAAACUACGAAGGAAAGAUCAUCAGCAUCAGAAUUAUUUAUAGCCGAGUUCGAAGUUAUGAACGCACUUUGGCUACCACACGCAUAUGGUUCAAAAAACCUGCCAACUGCAUCUCAUCAACUAGUUUCAAGAAUCGAGAGCAAGAACCCCGGCAAGAAGAAACAUUUUGCUCUUGCUCUAACAUAGCACGAUGGGUGGAUGGAUGGAUGGAUGGACGCUGGUGGGAGAUUUUCAAGAUACCGAUGAGAUCGACAUGUGUACAAAUGAUGCUGAUGCUUGUAAGGGGAAAAUUCUCAUGACUCAGUGUAGGUUCACGACCAUGAUGGCCAUUCCGCAUGCUAGUUGUCGUAAGGUUGCCGCCAUAAUUGACGGUGCUUUCAGUUUGCAGUAACGAUCGACGCCUCGAUCGUGCUAAUUUGUCCACAGUGAAUUAUCGGUUGGACGUGAUUUUAUGAGCGUUUGAAUGCACCGGUAUCGGAGCACUUUGUAGGGCUCAAGAUAUUCUAACAGAGAGGACAAAGUCUCACGCGGAAGUGCUCCCCUCCUCGCUAGUCAUGCAACACACAAGAUUAACCAUAAUUCACCCUGAUUUGACCUGUACCUGGCGACCGAUUACAACGUGCUAAUUUAUGGACAUUCGCAUAAGAGCACUAGGUACGCUUCUUUGAUCCAACGGAGCGAGAAAUUGCAACUUUUCUAGUCUGAAAGAGUCUGAGAUUACGACACAGCUCCGGCGCCACAAUGUAGGUUGCGCUUUUAAUUCGUUUUCCAAUCCUCCAGAAGAUGAUUAAGUUUGAUUUAUGUUUCUGCUAAGCAUUGGAAGGCUCGUUUCAUGAUCUGUGAGCAAAUAUGAAUGCGAUUUUGAUUGGCUCGCGGGGAACCAGUUGGUGGGAAUCAAUAAAUUGUUUCGUUUGUAUACGAGCCAAGGAGUACGUGGGAUGUGCUUCUUGGUGACCAGGCAAUGCAAUAGCUCAGUAAAAAGAAAUACGAAUUUAACGCUCAAUGUUAUCUACAAAAUACCUACUAGAAAUUCCCAAGAACUUUCAUCAGCGUCAAUGCUUUACCGUUUUCAAGAACUGAGCGGAUGCCAUCCUUGACAGUUGAUAAGAAGCCAUCUGCGGGUUUAUGUAGCUCGUUAUCGGUCAUGAUUGCAGUGCUAUAGAAUGCCAGUUGUUACAAUGUCGGGGAAUCAAACGUUUCCGCAUUUGUAGCUUCUUGCUGAAAAUUAUGGAUUCAUACCUUCUACCUAGUGGACAGGCUACACAUAGUACAAACAGUUGUGGAUUAAUUUUGAUCAUUUUCCCAUAAUUUUAGCUCAUUUGAUUAUAUCAUGACUAAGGCAUGAGUUUCGGUCACCAGCCGAGGAACUGCAAUGGCCCUGACAGAUCUGAUCUAUGCAGGCAAUUCGGGGAGAAAGGUCACAUUACAAGAGGCUGCACGAAGCAACCGAGAUGCAUGCCAUGCAAAAAAGGGGAAGGAAAUGACCAUACGACGGGAGGCUUCAAAUGCCCAGGCAUCCAAAUUAUCCCUAUCAAUUAUCAUUUUCACACCUAUCUUUAUCACCUAUCUCUAUCCCUAUCACAACUGCUUCUAUCAAUGAUACUAUCA